rnacentral:rRNA from 1 species
GAUGAACGCUGGCGGCGUGCCUAAUACAUGCAAGUCGAGCGAACGGACGAGAAGCUUGCUUCUCUGAUGUUAGCGGCGGACGGGUGAGUAACACGCGGAUAACCUACCUAUAAGACUGGGAUAACUUCGGGAAACCGGAGCUAAUACCGGAUAAUAUUUUGAACCGCAUGGUUCAAAAGUGAAAGACGGUCUUGCUGUCACUUAUAGAUGGAUCCGCGCUGCAUUAGCUAGUUGGUAAGGUAACGGCUUACCAAGGCAACGAUGCAUAGCCGACCUGAGAGGGUGAUCGGCCACACUGGAACUGAGACACGGUCCAGACUCCUACGGGAGGCAGCAGUAGGGAAUCUUCCGCAAUGGGCGAAAGCCUGACGGAGCAACGCCGCGUGAGUGAUGAAGGUCUUCGGAUCGUAAAACUCUGUUAUUAGGGAAGAACAUAUGUGUAAGUAACUGUGCACAUCUUGACGGUACCUAAUCAGAAAGCCACGGCUAACUACGUGCCAGCAGCCGCGGUAAUACGUAGGUGGCAAGCGUUAUCCGGAAUUAUUGGGCGUAAAGCGCGCGUAGGCGGUUUUUUAAGUCUGAUGUGAAAGCCCACGGCUCAACCGUGGAGGGUCAUUGGAAACUGGAAAACUUGAGUGCAGAAGAGGAAAGUGGAAUUCCAUGUGUAGCGGUGAAAUGCGCAGAGAUACGGAGGAACACCAGUGGCGAAGGCGACUUUCUGGUCUGUAACUGACGCUGAUGUGCGAAAGCGUGGGGAUCAAACAGGAUUAGAUACCCUGGUAGUCCACGCCGUAAACGAUGAGUGCUAAGUGUUAGGGGGUUUCCGCCCCUUAGUGCUGCAGCUAACGCAUUAAGCACUCCGCCUGGGGAGUACGACCGCAAGGUUGAAACUCAAAGGAAUUGACGGGGACCCGCACAAGCGGUGGAGCAUGUGGUUUAAUUCGAAGCAACGCGAAGAACCUUACCAAAUCUUGACAUCCUUUGACAACUCUAGAGAUAGAGCUUUCCCCUUCGGGGGACAAAGUGACAGGUGGUGCAUGGUUGUCGUCAGCUCGUGUCGUGAGAUGUUGGGUUAAGUCCCGCAACGAGCGCAACCCUUAAGCUUAGUUGCCAUCAUUAAGUUGGGCACUCUAAGUUGACUGCCGGUGACAAACCGGAGGAAGGUGGGGAUGACGUCAAAUCAUCAUGCCCCUUAUGAUUUGGGCUACACACGUGCUACAAUGGACAAUACAAAGGGCAGCGAAACCGCGAGGUCAAGCAAAUCCCAUAAAGUUGUUCUCAGUUCGGAUUGUAGUCUGCAACUCGACUACAUGAAGCUGGAAUCGCUAGUAAUCGUAGAUCAGCAUGCUACGGUGAAUACGUUCCCGGGUCU